rnacentral:rRNA from 1 species
UACGUAGGGUGCAAGCGUUGUCCGGAAUUAUUGGGCGUAAAGAGCUCGUAGGCGGUCUGUCACGUCGGCUGUGAAAACCUGGGGCUCAACCCCGGGCCUGCAGCCGAUACGGGCAGACUAGAAUUCGGUAGGGGAGACGUGGAAUUCCUGGUGGUAGCGGUGAAAUGCGCAGAUAUCAGGAGGAACACCGGUGGCGAAGGCGGGUCUCUGGGCCGAUGACUGACGCUGGAGGAGCGAAAGCGUGGGAGCGAACAGG